UACGGGGGGGGGCAAGCGUUGUUCGGAAUUACUGGGCGUAAAGGGCGCGUAGGCGGCGCAACAAGUCACUUGUGAAAUCUCCGGGCUUAACCCGGAGCGGCCAAGUGAUACUGUCGUGCUAGAGUGCGGAAGGGGCUACUGGAAUUCUCGGUGUAGCGGUGAAAUGCGUAGAUAUCGAGAGGAACACCUGCGGCGAAGGCGGGUAGCUGGGCCGACACUGACGCUGAGGCGCGAAAGCCAGGGGAGCGAACGGG
rnacentral:rRNA from 1 species